rnacentral:rRNA from 1 species
CCUACGGGUGGCAGCAGUGAGGAAUAUUGGUCAAUGGACGAGAGUCUGAACCAGCCAAGUAGCGUGAAGGAUGACUGCCCUAUGGGUUGUAAACUUCUUUUAUAAAGGAAUAAAACGCGGCAUGUGUGCCUUUUUGCAUGUACUUUAUGACUAAGGAUCGGCUAACUCCGUGCCAGCAGCCGCGGUAAUACGGAGGAUCCGAGCGUUAUCCGGAUUUAUUGGGUUUAAAGGGAGCGUAGGCGGGUUGUUAAGUCAGUUGUUAAAGUUUGCGGCUCAACCGUAAAAUUGCAGUUGAUACUGGCAGUCUUGAGUACAGUAGAGGUAGGCGGAAUGCGUGGUGUAGCGGUGAAAUGCUUAGAUAUCACGAAGAACCCCGAUUGCGAAGGCAGCUUACUAAACUGUAACUGACGCUGAUGCUCGAAAGUGUGGGUAUCAAACAGGAUUAGAUACCCUAGUAGUC